CGUAGGACCCAAGCGUUAUCCGGAAUUACUGGGCGUAAAGAGUUGCGUAGGUGGUUUGUUAAGUGAAUAGUGAAAUCGUGCGGCUCAACCGUAUACACAUUAUUUAAACUGGCAGACUUGAGUAUGGUAGAGGUCACUGGAAUUCCAAGUGUAGGAGUGAAAUCCGUAGAUAUUUGGAGGAACACCGAUGGCGUAGGCAGGUGACUGGGCCAUUACUGACACUGAGGCACGAAAGCGUGGGGAGCAAACGGGAUUAGAUACCCCGGUAGUCCACGCCCUAAACUAUGGAUGCUAGCAGUUUCGAGUAUCGACCCUCGAAGUUGCGAAGCUAACGCGUUAAGCAUCCCGCCUGUGGAGUACGAGCGCAAGCUUA
rnacentral:rRNA from 1 species